UGUGGUUGCAAGUGAUGAUUAGUACACUAUGGCAUAGUUCAACAGACGCAGGUCUUACUAACCUAAUUGAAUGUUGACAAAAAAUUCUUUCGCCCCUGUCUGAAAACCAUA
rnacentral:snoRNA from 1 species